CACAGAGAGAGACACAGAGACGUUAAGAAAGUUAAUGACCCAGAGAGAAAGACAAGGGGAUGAUAAGAAGCAACACUUUCACGAUCUGGGAGGGGGAGGAGGAAAAAAGCUGCGAGGAGAACGACGACUGAGAGCGUGAUGAGUCCAAAGGGAGCUGCCAUAAAAACAAAGCUUUCAAUAUUUUUACCUGUCAUCCACCGAAGACUGCAGGACGUUGUUUACCACGAGUCGGUUCACACAAAAUACUCCUCUGUGCGAGAGCUGAGCAACAAUCUGCCAUUACAGGCCAGUGUUGUUCUUAAUUAUUAAAACACGCUUCUUCAAUGUGAAUAUUUACUGGUUUCUUUGCUCCAUAUAAUAAAGAAAUCAUUCAAACUGAA